GUACGCAUAUUUAUAUGAGUGGCGGACGGGUGAGUAAUGCAUGGAAAUCUACCUUUCACUGGGGAAUAACCAUUAGAAAUAGUGGCUAAUACCGCAUACGCCAUAUUGGGAAAGCUUCGGCGGUGAAAGAUGAGUCCAUGUCUGAUUAGCUAGUUGGUAGGGUAAAGGCCUACCAAGGCGACGAUCAGUAGCUGGUUUGAGAGGAUGAUCAGCCACACUGGAACUGAGACACGGUCCAGACUCC
rnacentral:rRNA from 1 species